rnacentral:rRNA from 1 species
UAUGUAGGGGGCAAGCGUUGUCCGGAAUCAUUGGGCGUAAAGAGCGUGUAGGCGGCUCGGUAAGUCCGCUGUGAAAGUCCAGGGCUCAACCCUGGAAUGCCGGUGGAAACUGUCGAGCUAGAGUCCGGAAGAGGCGAGUGGAAUUCCUGGUGUAGCGGUGAAAUGCGUAGAGAUCAUGAGGAAGACCAGUGGCGAAGGCGGGUCUCUGGACAGUUCCUGACACUGAGACACGAAGGCCAGGGGAGCAAACGGG